rnacentral:lncRNA from 1 species
CUUUGCCAUCAUUUAAUUUGCCAAGAAUUCGUAACAAAUCUUUCCAGUUAGUGUCUGCAGAUGAAAGAGAGCCAAACCAUGUUGGAAGACCCAACUGUCUGAUCAUUGCAAACAAAUCUUUUUUCCUCUUUUCAAGGUAUACUGGAGAAUUUCUUAAACUUCUAAAGAUAUAAUAACCUUCAUCUAAUCUUACAAGAUCAUUUACAGUGUUAGGAUUCAGUACAUCUUUUGCUGUCCAUUUUUUCCUUCUGAUUGACACCUUCUCAGAGCAAGAUUGACCUUAUCACUUAUGUUUUUUAACUGAAUUUUCUUUAACUUAAAAAAAAUGUUUGGUACAGACUGUGCUACUCUCCUAUCCAUGGACCUUAGUUCCCAUUUGACAAUAUCAGUAUAGUGAACAGAAACAGACCUGUCUUUGUUAUCUGGCCUUCUUUGACCACAAAAUAUAGUUGGAAAAGAUAAGUACUCUGCAUCAGGAUCACUGUAGAGACUAAUUGGUCGUUGACCUUCACCAGGAGCAAAAGUUAAACCUGUAUCACAUAGUGGAUUGUCGUCUGGAAUGUGAUCUAACAGUGUAUCUGUGUUUCCAACAUGUGUUUCACUUUCAUCUACUUCACUGAAAUGAUCGGAGUCAUCGUCUGAAUCAUUCUGAUCUUGGUUAUCCUCUUGUUCUGUACUAUUGUUUUCAUUUUCAUGUGUUUCUUCAUUUAUUUUGGCAAUUUCUGUAAUCCAAUCCUCAUUUAUUUCUAUUCCAGAAGACUUGUACAAGUCACUUGUUCUCAUCAAAUAAUGUAAUGCACAAAUGACAGCAAAUGGUCUCACAUUUUCACUAAAAUCACACUUUUUGAAUUCCAGCUUCUUCUUCAGUUUAACUGAUAUUGUACCUGAUUUCUCUAAUGUAUGUGGAAGUGAAUUUAUUGUAGGUUGAACUUCAACAGGCACAUUUACAACAUUGCCUUUAACUGAUAACUGUCCACCUCUAGGCAACUGUCGAAUCUGCAUAAAAGGAAUUCUUAAUGAUAACAGUCUCUCUUCUAAAGGAUACAAAUUUAAGUUCUUUUGGUUUUUGGGGAAAUCCCAUUUUAUUUGGCUAUUGAAAAUCGAGGAAUUCUUUGUUUUUUAAUUGCAUUGAGACAAGUAUGACAUAUCCAUUCUAUGUCUUGUACAGAUUUAAAAUUAGUAAAGCAAUGAGACAUGUUAGCAGGAGUGGUCAUUUUGACAGUUUUAGAAUUAACUACAGAAUCACAAAACCAAGUUUGUUGACAUGAAGUACAUAUAUAUGUAGGACCAUCAUUAAUUUUUGUUUUAAAAUUUCUUAUGCAAGCAUCAAGGGUUAUACCUUGAACUCUUUUCUUUUUUAGGUUUUUUUCAUGAUCUGUGAAAUCAAUGUUUUUUCUUUUAGUACUUUUAACUGUUUUAUCAUAACAUCUGUCUAUAUCUAGUUUGUUCUGUCUAGAACUCUGUUUCUUCAAACGCUCAUUUUCUAAAUUUUCUGGAUGUGACCUAUAUUCUUUUUUUCUGUGGUAGUCCCGUUCGGACUCAUGUUUUCUGUAGUCUUCAUCUUGUCUGGCAAUUUUUUUCUUUUCUGUUUCAUUUCUUUUGAAAACAUCAUUCUUUCUAGCUUCUCUUUUAGCAGCAAUUUCUCUUUGUCUCUCUAUUUGUCUUUUAUCAGAAUUGUCUCUUUGAGACUUCUUAAUGUCUGCUUCAGCUCUUCUAUAAUUUUCUUUCUUUCUAAGUUCUCUUUUAGCAGCAAGUUCUCUUUGUCUUUCUAUCUGUCUUACAUCUGAAUUUUCUCUCUGAGACUUCUUUCUAUUUGCUUCAGUCUUUCUAUAAUUUGUAUCCUUUCUUACUUCUCUUUUAGCAGCAAGUUCUCUUUGUCUUUCUAUUUGUCUUAUAUCAGAAUUAUCUCUUUGAGACUUCUUUACUUUCUGCUUCAGCCCUUCUAUAAUUUGUAUCCUUUCUUACUUCUCUUUUAGCAGAGAAGUUCUCUUUGUCUUUCUAUCUGUCUUACAUCUAAAUUUUCUCUCUGAGACUUUUUUUUCUUUUGCUUCAGCCCUUCUAUAAUUUUAUCCUUUCUUACUUCUCUUUUAGCAGCAAGUUCUCUUUGUCUCUCUAUUUGUCUUUUAUACAAGAUUAUCUCUUUGAGACUUCUUUAUCUUCUGCUUCAGCCCUUCUAUAAUUUUUAUCCUUUCUAACUUCUCUUUUAGCAGCAAGUUCUCUUUGUCUUUCUAUUUGUCUUUUAUCAGAAUUAUCUCUUUGAGACUUCUUUCUAUCUGCUUCAGUCUUUCUAUAAUUUGUAUCCUUUCUCACUUCUCUUUUAGCAGCAAGUUCUUUUUUAUUAAAAUCUUCAUUCUUUCUAGCCUCUCUUUUAGCAGCAAGUUGCCUUUGUCUAUCUAUCUGUCUUAUAUCGGAAUUUUCUCUCCUAGAUCUUUUU